AUUGAACGCUGGCGGCAGGCUUAACACAUGCAAGUCGAACGAUGAUUAUCUAGCUUGCUAGAUAUGAUUAGUGGCGGACGGGUGAGUAACAUUUAGGAAUCUGCCUAGUAGUGGGGGAUAGCUCGGGGAAACUCGAAUUAAUACCGCAUACGACCUACGGGUGAAAGGGGGCGCAAGCUCUUGCUAUUAGAUGAGCCUAAAUCAGAUUAGCUAGUUGGUGGGGUAAAGGCCCACCAAGGCGACGAUCUGUAACUGGUCUGAGAGGAUGAUCAGUCACACCGGAACUGAGACACGGUCCGGACUCCUACGGGAGGCAGCAGUGGGGAAUAUUGGACAAUGGGGGCAACCCUGAUCCAGCCAUGCCGCGUGUGUGAAGAAGGCCUUUUGGUUGUAAAGCACUUUAAGCAGGGGGGAGAGGCUAAUGGUUAAUACCCAUUAGAUUAGACGUUACCUGCAGAAUAAGCACCGGCUAACUCUGUGCCAGCAGCCGCGGUAAUACAGAGGGUGCGAGCGUUAAUCGGAAUUACUGGGCGUAAAGCGAGUGUAGGUGGCUCAUUAAGUCACAUGUGAAAUCCCCGGGCUUAACCUGGGAACUGCAUGUGAUACUGGUGGUGCUAGAAUAUGUGAGAGGGAAGUAGAAUUCCAGGUGUAGCGGUGAAAUGCGUAGAGAUCUGGAGGAAUACCGAUGGCGAAGGCAGCUUCCUGGCAUAAUAUUGACACUGAGAUUCGAAAGCGUGGGUAGCAAACAGGAUUAGAUACCCUGGUAGUCCACGCCGUAAACGAUGUCUACUAGCCGUUGGGGUCCUUGAGACUUUAGUGGCGCAGUUAACGCGAUAAGUAGACCGCCUGGGGAGUACGGCCGCAAGGUUAAAACUCAAAUGAAUUGACGGGGGCCCGCACAAGCGGUGGAGCAUGUGGUUUAAUUCGAUGCAACGCGAAGAACCUUACCUGGUCUUGACAUAGUGAGAAUCCUGCAGAGAUGCGGGAGUGCCUUCGGGAAUUCACAUACAGGUGCUGCAUGGCUGUCGUCAGCUCGUGUCGUGAGAUGUUGGGUUAAGUCCCGCAACGAGCGCAACCCUUUUCCUUAUUUGCCAGCGGGUUAAGCCGGGAACUUUAAGGAUACUGCCAGUGACAAACUGGAGGAAGGCGGGGACGACGUCAAGUCAUCAUGGCCCUUACGACCAGGGCUACACACGUGCUACAAUGGUAGGUACAGAGGGUUGCUACACAGCGAUGUGAUGCUAAUCUCAAAAAGCCUAUCGUAGUCCGGAUUGGAGUCUGCAACUCGACUCCAUGAAGUCGGAAUCGCUAGUAAUCGCAGAUCAGAAUGCUGCGGUGAAUACGUUCCCGGGCCU
rnacentral:rRNA from 1 species